rnacentral:misc_RNA from 1 species
AAAAUUUUUUGAUUAAAUAUGGACCAAAUUGUGAUAUUAAUCAAAUCCCAAGAGCUAAAUAGUAAAUUUUCCUUAAUUGAAUAAGUAAUAUAUUUAUCUUCUCACUUAAAUUAACAGCAAUAUUAGAUGGAAGGACCUAUGAUUUUGACAGAAGAAUAAUUGAUAGACCAAGUCAUUCAAUUUCCAAAAUAAAUGGACCAAAUAAUAAAUUUCCCAAAAAAUAAUAAGAGUGGAGUUCAUAUAAAAAUCACAUCUCUCUUUCUUUUCUUUUUUUUU